GACGAACGCUGGCGGCGUGCCUAAUACAUGCAAGUCGAGCGGAUCUUUAGGAGCUUGCUCCUUGAGAUUAGCGGCGGCCGGGUGAGUAACACGUGGGCAACCUGCCUGUAAGACUGGGAUAACACAGGGAAACCGGUGCUAAUACCGGAUAAUUCUUUCCCUCUCAUGAGGGAAAGCUGAAAGUCGGUUUCGGCUGACACUUACAGUUGGGCCCGAGGCGCAUUAGCUAGUUGGUGAGGUAACGGCUCACCAAGGCGACGAUGCGUAGCCGACCUGUGAGGGUGCUCGGCCACACUGGGACUGGGACACGGCCCAGACUCCUACGGGAGGCAGCAGUAGGGAAUCUUCCGCAAUGGACGAAAGUCUGACGGAGCAACGCCGCGUGAGUGAUGAAGGCCUUCGGGUCGUAAAACUCUGUUGUUAGGGAAGAACAAGUAUCGGAGUAACUGCCGGUACCUUGACGGUACCUAACCAGAAAGCCACGGCUAACUACGUGCCAGCCGCCGCUGUAAAAC
rnacentral:rRNA from 1 species